rnacentral:lncRNA from 1 species
AUGGACGACGGAGCCGCUCUGCCCAGCUGGGCACGGCGAUGGCGGCAGCGGGCUGUGCUGCCCGGUGUCCCCGGCGAGGAGGAAUUCCUUCGGGCGGGCGCCCGCCGCCCUGCCCACGGGGAGGAAGCGGUGGCCAGGUCACGCCCUGCGCCGGCACCCCCGCAGGGUGCCACCGCCGUGUCACCGCCUCGUGCUCUGGCUCUGGGCACCCAGAGGGCACGGCGGCCCCGGGGCUGGCACGGCUCCUGCCCGGUGCCCACGCCGCCGCCGCUCCCGCUCGAGCCACGCGGCGCCGGGGCAGCAGCCGGGUGCACAGAUGGCACAGCCCUCGCCCCCGGUGUGACCGUGACACCGGCUUGGACACCGCAGAGAACAUCUGGUGACAUCUGCCCGGUGGCAAAUAGCCGGGGGGGAGCCCCAGUGCAGGGGGAUGAGUGCUUGGGCUGGGUCAGUGGGGUACAACGAGGGGGACAGGGCAGCGCAGGGACCCCCAGGGUGCCCAGUGCCACCUCUGACCUUUGGGGCCACGCUGGCACCCUCUGCCCGGUACGGGCACGUGUCUUCCUGCACGGCACCACCGUGCACCCCAUCAUCGGGGGGGUGGGGGUGUCCGGGGCUGGUGCCCCCGCACAGCCACUGUCCCCGCUCUGCACCGGCAGGAUUGUGGCCGUCACCCCGGGAGCGGUCUCCGGCCAUCGCCCCCUGCCACCCCAGGGGAUGGGUGACCACCGGACGGGGCCGUCACCCCCCCCCAGCCCACGGACCGUGCGGGUCACCCGGGGGAUCCCCAGCCACCCCCCCGCGGGCUCCCCCCCCCGCCCGGGGGAUGCCGCGGCCACCACGCCACCGGGAUCCCGCGGCCGUGCCAAUACGCCCCCCCCCCCCACGGUAUCCGCGGGUCCCGGUGCGGGGGCUCCGAGGGGGGGGCCCCACCGGCUCCGGGCCGCCCGGGUCCCUCCCCGAGCCGAGGGCGGGGCGGAGCGGCGGGGCGGGAGCCCGGGCGGGGCGGUGCGCGGCGGCGGCGGCGGCGGCGGCGGCGCGGGAGCGCUCACCGGAGACAAAGGCAGCGCCGGGAGGCGGCGGCGGCGCCGCGCACCGGGCGCGCACCGGGCUCCCCCCCCCCCCCCCCCCCCCCCCCCCCCCCCCCCCCCCCCCCCCCCCGCCGCCGCCGCCCUAUGGAGCCGCCGCCGCCGCCCGCCGCCUGAGCCACGUGCGCCGCCGCCGCCGCCGGUAACGGGAGCCGCGGGGGGAACGGGCGCGGCGCCCCCGCCUGUUGCGCGGAGGGGAGGGGAGGGGAGCGGGGCCGGGGCGGGGGCGCGCGGGGCCGUGGCCACCGGGAACCGGGGGCUGGGGCGGAGGCGGAGGCGCGCGCCCGGCGCGUCCCCGGGGCGCGCGCGCCCCCCCCUCCCCCCCGCCGCCGCGGCGGAGGCGCGCGCGCGCUCUCCGUGGGGGGGGGGAAGGAGGAGGAGGAGGAGGAAGCGGGGGGGCCGCCGCGCCCGGCACCGGGAGCGGGGAGGUCCCCGCCGGGUGUCCCCAUCCCGCCCUCCGCGGGCACCGGGCAGGGAAGCACCCGGCACCGGGGCACAGGCCGCGGGCAGCGGGGGGUGGGGGGGACGGGGAGAGGGAGGGGGAGAAAGGGGGGGACCCGCCUCGGUGCCUGCCGCCACCCGGCCGGGGCUCCCGGUCCGCUCCCGCGGGACCGCGUGGGUGUCCCCCGGCACCCCCAGCCCACGCGUCCCCGCUCCCCGAACGCCUCCGGCCCCCGACACCCCCAGCCCCAACGUCCCCUCUCCAGAGCUAUCCCUGGCUGCGUACGCCCCCGGUCCCCAGGUGCCCCCGGUCCCCAAGCACCCCCAGUCCCCAGGCGCUGCCAGCCCUCGCUGUCCCUAG